GGAGUUGUGGCUCAGCGGUAGAGUGCUUGCCUAGCACAUGCCAGGAGUGGGGUUCAAACCUCAGCACCA
rnacentral:tRNA from 1 species